rnacentral:rRNA from 1 species
UGAAUCUGGAUCACCAUCUAGUGGCAGACGGGUGAGUAACACGUGGGUGACCUACCUUGUACUGGGGGACAACAGUUGGAAACGACUGCUAAUACCGCAUAAGCGCACAGCUUCGCAUGAAGCAGUGUGAAAAACUCCGGUGGUAUAAGAUGGACCCGCGUCUGAUUAGCUUGUUGGUGAGGUAACGGCCCACCAAGGCGACGAUCAGUAGCCGGCCUGAGAGGGUGAACGGCCACAUUGGGACUGAGAUACGGCCCAGACUCC